CCUACGGGAGGCAGCAGUGGGGAAUAUUGGACAAUGGGGGGAACCCUGAUCCAGCCAUGUCGCGUGUGUGAAGAAGGCCCUCGGGUUGUAAAGCACUUUCAGUGAGGAAGAACGCCUGGUGGUUAAUACCCAUCAGGAAAGACAUCACUCACAGAAGAAGCACCGGCUAACUCCGUGCCAGCAGCCGCGGUAAUACGGAGGGUGCGAGCGUUAAUCGGAAUUACUGGGCGUAAAGCGCGCGUAGGUGGCUUGAUAAGCCGGUUGUGAAAGCCCCGGGCUCAACCUGGGAACGGCAUCCGGAACUGUCAAGCUAGAGUGCAGGAGAGGAAGGUAGAAUUCCCGGUGUAGCGGUGAAAUGCGUAGAGAUCGGGAGGAAUACCAGUGGCGAAGGCGGCCUUCUGGACUGACACUGACACUGAGGUGCGAAAGCGUGGGUAGCAAACAGGAUUAGAUACCCUGGUAGUC
rnacentral:rRNA from 1 species